GUAGGUGAACCUGCGGAAGGAUCAUUAUUGAAGUAAACCUGAUGGAUUGUUGCUGGUUCUUUAAUGAACAUGUGCACAUCUGUCAUCUUUAUAUCUCCACCUGUGCACCUUUUGUAGACCUGGACAAGUUUCUUAAUCCUAGUAUUAAGGUUUUGGGAUUGACUUUAUUGUCUUUCCUUAUAUUUCUGGGUCUAUGUUUAUUCAAAUACCCUAAUGUAUGUUAUAGAAUGUAAUAAGUGGGCCUUUGUGCCUAUAACAAUAUACAACUUUCAGCAACGGAUCUCUUGGCUCUC
rnacentral:misc_RNA from 1 species